GGGUGGAAUGAUGAUAACGAUUUUUCGGAUAUAUUAAUUUAUUCUGUCGACCAAAACUCAGACUACAAUUAUCUGACUAAUUGGCAAAAAAAAAAAAAAAAAAAAAAAAAAAAAA
rnacentral:snoRNA from 1 species